UAACGUCAUAAAUAUCCUGC
rnacentral:miRNA from 1 species